CUUAUAUCAUACUUAAAUCUCUCAGCCUUCAGUUUAAGACAUUUUCUCUUCUUGUAAACUAUAACAAUUAUAACUACCCAAACUGACAUUCAGCUAACAUUUAUAGACAGCCUCCUAAAUGAAAAUAAUGUACUUAAUUCUGGGGGAUAAAAUAUGAAUAAUAUAUAGUCUCUGCUUUACAGAAAUAUCACAACCCUGUGGGGGAGAAAAACAUAUGUGAAAAUAACUAUGCUUGUCUUUUACAAAGGCAGUAAGGAAAAAAUGAUUCAUUUUGACCGUGAGUGUUGGGGAAGAUGUCAUGAAAUGGAGAGUGUGCAGAAGUGUUACAACAUGAAGUAUCUCGGUCCUCAACUCCUCCCUUUGCUGCUAUGUCAUUUUCACCUGAGUCAUGGAUUUGUGACUUUAGGAAUGCAUGAAUGAGAAGAAAAACAAAGGGAAAAAAGAAGACAGCACACAGGCCUCAAUGGUGUCCAUUUUCCCGAAAGGGCAUUGGAGGCUUGGCGGACAUACGAAAAUACAUGCAAGGAAAAUAAUUCGUAAAGAUGUGACGUGUAGCAUUUUGUUGAAUGAAUUGGGUGCACAAACAUUAUUCCUAUCUUAAUCUCACACCCAUACUUGUCAUUUUGUCCCUCCACUUUAUACUGUCACGAUACCCAGCACUUGCCCUUAGCAGUCCUUGACGCAUUUGGAUGACUAUUUCCUGAAUGACUUUCUCACUCUCUAGAUAAAAAUCUGUAAAACCAAUGAUCCCGCCUCUCUUGUUUACCAUGUUUUAUUCACCCAGCAGCCAGCAUAGAGCUUGGAACACUUGACAUGGAAGAGUUCUCCCAAAAUACGGACUGUUUUCUGCCACUAGCAAACACACUGAUAAAUGCUAAAAGGGCUUGCCAUGAAUCAUUUGAUCACAGGAUUUUAAGGCACCUCUAGGCAUGAUUAUGGUCUCCCACCAGUCAAGCCUGAGGCGUUCUGUUAACAUUCUUUUAGAAGAUCAAGACGUGGAAUGGUGUGAUGGACAUAACCGCUCUAAAAUGAAGUUCUUUUGUCAUGUUAGAAACAAGGGUCUAUUUUGGGGGUAGGAACCAAGAUAGUCUUACUUGUGUUGUAUUCAGCCUUAUAUAAAAUUUUUAAUUUUUUUUAAAAAACAACAAAGCCAUAAUGACUCCUUAUUUUCUUUCCAUAUUUUAAACAACUGCUGAUCAAGAAAGAGUUUAAUCCAAAUUCCAAAUCUUUGAACAUAUACGCCACUUUCAAAGGAGGCUGGGCAGGUUUCAAUGGGCCCUAGGAGCCCAUAUUCUAUUUCUCCGUCUGUCUCUCCCUGUCACUGUCACACCCCUCUCUCUCUUUCUCUCUUCUGUCUUUUCCUUUUGUUCCCUCUUAUAACGAGGAAGAAGGAUAAAAAUGUGAUUUGGCUGGAACAGAUUGAAACUGAGUAAAGUUGAACAAACACAAAUCUUCCACAAUGAAAUGUAAAUUUGUCUAAGCUAUAAUGCCAAAUAUGUUUUUUUUUUCUUUCCUUCUCAAUGGUAGCAAUAACAGAGAAGCAUAUUGGCCCCAUGAUCAAGAGGGAACUUUGCCCAACUCCUGGUCUUAAUGAAACAGAGACUUAAAAAACAACAGCAAGCUUCCCAUGGCCUGGCAGAGUUUCAGAGUCUCAAUCUGAGCAAGGCUUCAGAGAACCUCUCUACCCCCUUUGCUCUGUUUUUUUUUUUUUUUUUUUUUUUUUUUCUUUUACUUUUCUUUUU